CUAACAUAGUCACUCUCUCCAAACCGAAUAAACCCCCCCAAUCUCUGCUCAAACCUGAGACCAAUAUCACUAUUAAAUGUGGACAUCAAGAUGUAUACAAAGCUGUUGGCCACUCGUAUCAAACCGAUGCUACUUCCCCUAAUCUCCCCUGGAACAGGCUGGCUUUGUGCCAGGCAAGCAGGUGGGCGACAAUAUACGCUACUUCAUUGACCUCAUAGAAUGG